UGCGGGAUGACGGCCUUCGGGUUGUAAACCGCUUUUGACUGGGAGCAAGCCCUUCGGGGUGAGUGUACCUUUCGAAUAAGCACCGGCUAACUACGUGCCAGCAGCCGCGGUAAUACGUAGGGUGCAAGCGUUAUCCGGAAUUAUUGGGCGUAAAGGGCUCGUAGGCGGUUCGUCGCGUCCGGUGUGAAAGUCCAUCGCUUAACGGUGGAUCCGCGCCGGGUACGGGCGGGCUUGAGUGCGGUAGGGGAGACUGGAAUUCCCGGUGUAACGGUGGAAUGUGUAGAUAUCGGGAAGAACACCAAUGGCGAAGGCAGGUCUCUGGGCCGUCACUGACGCUGAGGAGCGAAAGCGUGGGGAGCGAACAGGAUUAGAUACCCUGGUAGUCCACGCCGUAAACGGUGGAUGCUGGAUGUGGGGCCCGUUCCACGGGUUCCGUGUCGGAGCUAACGCGUUAAGCAUCCCGCCUGGGGAGUACGGCCGCAAGGCUAAAACUCAAAGAAAUUGACGGGGGCCCGCACAAGCGGCGGAGCAUGCGGAUUAAUUCGAUGCAACGCGAAGAACCUUACCUGGGCUUGACAUGUUCCCGACAGCCCCAGAGAUGGGGCCUCCCUUCGGGGCGGGUUCACAGGUGGUGCAUGGUCGUCGUCAGCUCGUGUCGUGAGAUGUUGGGUUAAGUCCCGCAACGAGCGCAACCCUCGCCCCGUGUUGCCAGCGGAUUAUGCCGGGAACUCACGGGGGACCGCCGGGGUUAACUCGGAGGAAGGUGGGGAUGACGUCAGAUCAUCAUGCCCCUUACGUCCAGGGCUUCACGCAUGCUACAAUGGCCGGUACAACGGGAUGCGACGCGGCGACGCGGAGCGGAUCCCUGAAAACCGGUCUCAGUUCGGAUCGCAGUCUGCAACUCGACUGCGUGAAGGCGGAGUCGCUAGUAAUCGCGAAUCAGCAACGUCGCGGUGAAUGCGUUCCCGGGCCUUGUACACACCGCCCGUCAAGUCAUGAAAGUGGGUAGCACCCGAAGCCGGUGGCCCAACCUUUUGGGGGGAGCCGUCUAAGGUGAGACUCGUGAUUGGGACUAAGUCGUAACAAGGUAGCCGUACCGGAAGGUGCGGCUG
rnacentral:rRNA from 1 species